rnacentral:rRNA from 1 species
GUACCCGAAGAAAAAGCAUCGGCUAACUCCGUGCCAGCAGCCGCGGUAAAACGUAGGGUGCAAGCGUUGUCCGGAAUUACUGGGUGUAAAGGGAGCGCAGGCGGACCGGCAAGUUGGAAGUGAAAACUAUGGGCUCAACCCAUAAAUUGCUUUCAAAACUGCUGGCCUUGAGUAGUGCAGAGGUAGGUGGAAUUCCCGGUGUAGCGGUGGAAUGCGUAGAUAUCGGGAGGAACACCAGUGGCGAAGGCGACCUACUGGGCACCAACUGACGCUGAGGCUCGAAAGCAUGGGUAGCAAACAGGAUUAGAUACCCUGGUAGUCCAUGCCGUAAACGAUGAUUACUAGGUGUUGGAGGAUUGACCCCUUCAGUGCCGCAGUUAACACAAUAAGUAAUCCACCUGGGGAGUACGACCGCAAGGUUGAAACUCAAAGGAAUUGACGGGGGCCCGCACAAGCAGUGGAGUAUGUGGUUUAAUUCGAAGCAACGCGAAGAACCUUACCAGGUCUUGACAUCCGAUGCAUAGCUUAGAGAUAAGUGAAGUCCUUCGGGACAUCGAGACAGGUGGUGCAUGGUUGUCGUCAGCUCGUGUCGUGAGAUGUUGGGUUAAGUCCCGCAACGAGCGCAACCCUUAUUGCCAGUUACUACGAAAGAGGACUCUGGCGAGACUGCCGUUGACAAAACGGAGGAAGGUGGGGAUGACGUCAAAUCAUCAUGCCCUUUAUGACCUGGGCUACACACGUACUACAAUGGCGUUUAACAAAGAGAAGCAAGACCGCGAGGUGGAGCAAAACUCAAAAACAACGUCUCAGUUCAGAUUGCAGGCUGCAACUCGCCUGCAUGAAGUCGGAAUUGCUAGUAAUCGCGGAUCAGCAUGCCGCGGUGAAUACGUUCCCGGGCCUUGCACACACCGCCCGUCA